CUUUACAAAGGUAAAAGGACUGGGUUAUGACAUCCAGCAUUGUGACAUGGUAAAAGCAACAGACUUGAAAUCUGGCUCUGCCAUGCAUGGACCAGAAAACUCUGGACAAAUCCCUGAACUUCUCCUGGUUUCUCUCUUUUAUAAAAUGAAGGUCAUUUAGAAGGUUCAUUAAAUAGAGAAGGUAAAAGUUUGUUAUAAACUAUAAAGCACUUAGAAGAGCCCCUGGCAUAUUCUAAAUACUCACUAUUAUUAGCUCGACCUGGGAAAAGCAAAGCCUGCUUUAAAUAUGAAGCCCAUCUCAGAGGGGGAAAAAGUUCCCUGGAUAACAGCCAUGGUGUUGACACAACAGUGCCUGGCUCUGGCAAAAAUGCCUAUUACAUCAAAAAUUGAUAAACUAAAAUGUCAGCCCAUCUACCUCAACUCUUGACCAAUUCCAAGAAAAAGGAUUCUACACAGCAUUCUAUUUUGGCUUAAAUAAGUUGUCAGGCUGAGAGCUUUGAUCAAAGCUUGAUGCUAGCCAAUUUACUUACUUGCCUGACAUUAAGUCUAGUAUAAAUUCUUCUAACUAGACUCCUUGAAUUAAAUCUGGAAUACAGCUUACCAAUCUAAGUAGACAGGCCAAUUAAAGUAACAGUUUUAGAGAAAUGAUUCUUAAUAAGAGUAGGUUGGGGCCGGGCACAGUGGCUCACGCCUGUAAUCCCAGCACUUUGGGAGGCCGAGGUGGGCGGAUCACCUGAGGUCAGGAGUUCAAGACCACCCUGGCCAACAUGGUGAAACCCCGUCUCUAGUAAAAAUAACAAAAAUUAGCUGGGCAUGGUGGUGAGCAUCUGAAUCCCAGCUACUUGGGAGGCUGAGACAGGAGAACUGCUUUAACCCAGGAAGCGGAGGUUGCAGUGAGUGGAGAUUGCUCCA
rnacentral:lncRNA from 10 species